ensembl:snRNA U6 U6 spliceosomal RNA
GUGCUCGCUUUGGCAGCACAUAUUCCAAAACUGGAAUGAUGCAGAGAAGAUUAGCGUGGCCCCUGCGCAAGGAUGACAUGCAAACACACACACACACACACACACAUA